CCCUUAGACGUUCUGGGCCGCACGCGCGCUACACUGACCAGUGCAACAAGCAUCCGUCCUUGGCCGACAGGCCCGGGCAAUCUUUGAACGCUGGUCGUGAUGGGGAUAGACUUUUGCAAUUUUUGGUCUUCAACGAGGAAUUCCUAGUAAACGCAAGUCAUCAACUUACAUUGAUUACGUCCCUGCCCUUUGUACACACCGCCCGUCGCACCUACCGAUUGAAUGGUCCGGUGAAGCCUCCGGAUUGGCGCGCACCUCGGUGCCGCCGAGAAGUUGGCUAAACCUUACCAUUUAGGGGAAGGUGAAGUCGUAACA
rnacentral:rRNA from 1 species